rnacentral:tRNA from 1 species
AGGGUUGUAGUUAAACAUAACAUUUGAUUUGCACUCAAAAAGUAUUGAAUUAUCAAUCUUCCUUA